rnacentral:rRNA from 1 species
GUCUACGGCCAUGCCACCCUGAACAAGCCCAAUGUCUGAUCUCGGAAACUAAGCAGGGUCGGGCCUGGUUAGUACUUGGAUGGGAGACCACUUGGGAAGACCAGGUGCUGUAGGCA